ACGAAUCAAAGAUUCGUCCCAAAAAAUAAGCAAUGGAAAGAAAUUUUUUAAUUUAUAAGUUAACCCUAAAUCUCCUCCCACCCAUCUGCCCCUUCACUCAUCCCUUCACUGCAACUCUUGCGGCGGCUGAUUCCUUCCCGAUCGGCUGCGGCACAGGUUUCAAUUUGGCAUGAUCUCAGUGUAGUUGAAGACAACUGUAUUUGUUCACAUCUUUUCGGUAAAAUGCAGAAUGAGCGAAGUUGGAUGUAUAACAAGAAUUCAAGUAUAAUGCAGAAUGAGGAAGAGGAGGAGGAGGAGGAGGAGGAGGAGGAGGAUGAUAAUCAUAAUGAUGACUUUAAUUUUUGACGAUGGGGUUGGUGAGGCGAACUAAAGGUCCGAGAAAAAAAGCAAAGGAGAUUUGAAAGGGUGCAAAGCUUUUGGGCAGACGAAGAUGACUUGAUGUAUUUUUAGUUUAUUUACCUCCUUGGAUGGAUGAUGGACUUAUAUAACAUUUGAUUGUUGAACUUUAUAAUAUUUUCUAGAAGCUUGAACAAGAUAGAUCUUGUAAAAUUUGUUGAGAUCUUUAUAUUUGUUGAAUUAUGAGUUGAUCGAGUUCAAUUA